AUGUCGAUGAGGAGUUGCUAUUCUUCUUCUCCUUUCCUCCGUGGGAUCUCUAGAGCGGCGUGGAGGCACGCGGUGGCCGGCACUCCGAGUCUGAGCGGCAGCCACAAUCUGUGCCACUUGCCCCUCCGGCCUCGCGUGCCGCCCAUCGCCCUCGGCCUUGCUGGACGCUUCUUCUCUUCCUCCUCAUCCAAAUCCAAGCGCUCCACCAAGAAAUCUGCCGCAAAGAAGGACACGCCGACGGGCUCUGCCGGCGGCGGCCAGUUCUAUGUCGUCCGCAAGGGGGAUGUCAUCGGCAUCUACAAGGACCUCGCCGACUGCCAAGCUCAAGUCAGCAAUUCGGUCUGCGAUCCUUCAGCGACCGUGUACAAAGGCUGCUCUCUGCGUAAAGAAACCGAGGAGUAUCUCGCAAAGCGUGGGCUAAAGAAUGCUCUGUAUUCGAUCAACGCAGCAGAUGCAAGAGAUGAGUUGUUUGAUGCUCUGGCUCCCUGCCCUUUCCAGCAGCCUGAUGGAAUUGCAUCCUCUGCUUUGGAAACCGGACCAUCAAAGAAGCAUCCCAAAGUCGCUGAACAGGAGCCGUUACCUGAUAGUCAUCUGUCCUGCAUUCUCGAGUUUGAUGGUGCUUGCAAAGGAAACCCUGGGAAAUCAGGUGCCGGCGUGAUAAUCAGGCGACCGGACGGAUCCGUGAUCGCUCACCUACGCGAGGGUUUGGGUAUUGCAACAUGUAAUGCCGCUGAAUAUCACGCAUUGCUCCUGGGGUUGAGGUAUGCUGCUAACAAGGGAUUCAAGUACGUUCGUGCUCAAGGCGAUUCUAAGCUUGUCUGUAACCAGGUCCAGGAUCUCUGGCGUGUUAGGAAUGAUAAUAUGGCUGACUUGUGCAAGAAAGCUAAGGAGCUCAAGGGAAAGUUUCUUCAGUUUCAGAUCAACCAUGCUUUGAGGAAAUUUAAUGCAGAUGCUGAUGCCCAAGCUAACUUUGCUGUUGAACUUCCUGUUGGUGAAGUUCAAGAGCAGACAAACUUCCCAUGCUAG
rnacentral:rRNA from 1 species